rnacentral:rRNA from 1 species
UACGGAGGGUGCAAGCGUUAAUCGGAAUUACUGGGCGUAAAGCGUGCGCAGGCGGUUUGUUAAGUCUGUUGUGAAAUCCCCGAGCUCAACUUGGGAAUUGCAGUGGAUACUGGCGAGCUAGAGUGCGGUAGAGGAAGGUGGAAUUCCCGGUGUAGCGGUGAAAUGCGUAGAGAUCGGGAGGAACACCAGUGGCGAAGGCGGCCUUCUGGACCAAUACUGGCACUCAUGCACGAAA